rnacentral:rRNA from 1 species
CAGUCGCCGCGGGAAUACGUAGGGUGCAAGCGUUAAUCGGAAUUACUGGGCGUAAAGCGUGCGUAGGCGGUUUGUUAAGUCUGUUGUGAAAUCCCCGGACUCAACCUGGGAAUGGCAAUGGAUACUGGCAAGCUAGAGUGUGUCAGAGGAUGGUGGAAUUCCCGGUGUAGCGGUGAAGUGCGUAGAGAUCGGGAGGAACAUCAGUGGCGAUGGCGGCCAUCUGGGACAACACUGACGCUGAGGCACGAAAGCGUGGGGAGCAAACAGGAUUAGAUACCCCUGUAGUCCCUGUCUCUUAUAC